rnacentral:rRNA from 1 species
UACAGAGGGGGCAAGCGUUGUUCGGAAUUACUGGGCGUAAAGGGCGCGUAGGCGGCCUUCUAAGUCGAACGUGAAAUCCCUGGGCUCAACCCAGGAACUGCGUCCGAUACUGGUUGGCUUGAAUCCGGGAGAGGGAUGUGGAAUUCCAGGUGUAGCGGUGAAAUGCGUAGAUAUCGGGAGGAACAUCAGUGGCGAAGGCGGCCUUCUGGUCCAGUACUGACACUCAAGUGCGAAAGCGUGGGGAGCAAACAGG